rnacentral:rRNA from 1 species
AUGUCGUUGCCCCUCUCGCGACCACGCCGUCGGGGCAGUUUUGGCCACCGCCCCACCCCUCGCCCCACCUCUUCCCCAGAUCCUCCCCGCCAGCCACCCUCCUCGACCCGUGCCUCCGUCUGCAGGCCGCCGCCGGACCGCCCCGUCCACGCGCCGCCGCCAGGGCCGCCCCGUCCACGCGCCUCCGCCUGCACGUCGCCGCCGGACUGCCCCGUCCACGCGCCAGCCGCCCGGGCCGACCCAUCCACGACGCCGUUCACACCAUUCUCUCCUUGCACGGCCGCCUACAAAGGUCCUUCUUCAAUUCCUUCACCGGGUCCGCACGGCUACUCGAGGAUGCAUUGUUUGUCCUUCUCUUCAUGUCUCCUUUUAAUGUGGAUUCCCAUGUCGUCGGGAUCGAUAAGUCUGGUCGUGAGCCAGCCGGCCUGCCGUACAUACGAAUCAUGUCUAUACUCCCCCCAUACCUCCUUCACGUUUCAUGGAUCAACGAGAUGUUUUCUGCUCUCUUUUUUCAGAAUCCAUGUUGCUAUGCAGCUGGCCAUUGUUAAAAUUUGUUCUAUCCAUGUGCUGAAAGGAGCUGAGCUUAAUUUACAUAUGUGGAUGCAAUCUUUCUUUCAGAAGGAGCACUAG